CUCAGUCGAUGAGCCUCCCAGACGUGCGCACCGUGGAGGUUAAGUGGGGCUCAGAGAGAGAGUCCAGCUGUGAUGGGGGACCGCAAAUCCCAUAAGCCACCAGUCUCAGGGCAGGUUGGCACCACAGGAAGCUUUCACGGUGGGAAGUGGCGAGCGCGUCUCUGUCUGUCAGGAGUGGGGGAAUAUUGGAUGUGAGCAAAGAGAGGAAUGUCUUGGCUGGACUCUGACGUGAGGAGAAUAUGGGAUGGUGUUGUUUUGAACAAGCCGAGCUCUGUGCACUCCCUUAUAUUAAAAUAUCUGAGAUUUUACCGAGCUGAGCUAAUUCUGGGAGAUUUAUACCACAACGUGUACUUUAUUAGAGUGAAGACGUACGGUGGGAUGCAGCAGAGAGGGGUUUGUCUUUGUCUUUGAGCACGCUGCUUUUUUUGUUUGCUCCUCGGUGAUUAAAUGAAGAGGAAAGCUGCCUCAGCAGAGCCGUUAUUGAUUAACAUAACCUUUAUUUAAUCAGGUAAUACCAUCCAGAUUGGAGUCUCCUGAAUAAGAGAGACACAAGUACAGCAGAGCAGCAUCCUGAUGAAUCACAGACCUCUCAUUUCUCAGUUCCUUUUGUAACCAGCAUGAAAAAUCAGGUUACUAACCCUGUAUUUGUCAUUUAAACAAUUCUACUAAAUUCCCAGUAGGUGCGAUAUUUCCCUGCUGGUCACUGUAUCCCGAGUGAACCUGCGUGAACUAUCGCGUGAAAUCUGCACCGUGAAGCAGACGUGUUUUCCUCUCACGACACGAGCCAGACAGCAGCAGAGCAGACAGACAGACAGACCGAGAGAGUCGGUAGCUAAAGCCGAGCAAACACGACAGACACACGGAGUAGCAGAGCCGUGGAUAACGGCAGAGACGUCCGCAGGCAGACCCGGUAUUCACAGCGAACCCGGGUUCAAAACCGACAGGCUGUGAGCCGAGGAGAAAACCCCUUUGUGGGAUUAAAAUGCAUGAACUCCGGUGAGUCAGCAGACAGUUAGCUUCCAGUUCGGUAGCCGUUCAGACGGAAAAAUAAAACGCAUUUAUAGUUCUAUUUACUUGUGUUAUUGUGGUCUAUGUUGCUUUAAAUAUGCCAUAUGAUGCCUUUCGAUGUUUUCCUGUUGUUUGUAAGCCGUUUUUACCGUAGUUUAUGGCUUGUAAAAAGAUCGCUAGCUUGAAAUGCUAACGCUAUUAGCGACCGCGACAUGCUAAUCGCUAAGUAGGGAUGCUAUUUUGUCCCUUGUUUCAUGUUUAGUCAUGCAGUCGCUAUGCUAACCGCUAAGCUAAUGUUAAGUUUCCAUGCAGUUGCAUUGAGAAGGUGCAGUUUAAUCAUUUUUAUACCAAUUGAACUGCUUAUUUGUGUUAUUAGUCUCUGUUUUUGGUGAUAUAUUUUGGAUGUUGAACUGAGAAACUGAUGAGACCUCAUGAGAAAUAGACAGAAUCAGAUUAGGUUCUUAUCCCUAUACACUUUCUGUGUAGGUUGGUUUUUUUCUUGCUAGUCUGAACUGAGAAAGAGACGAUCAGGAUGGCGAUCCCAGCCCAGCGAGUCUGAGAUAGAGAGAGAGGGAGAAGCAGUGUGGCCAGCUGCAGAAUCCACCUACCUCAACAACUCUGGAUCUUCCGAAUCCCGCACUUUGAGAGCAGAUAAGACACAUACAUACACUUUGCACCUACCCGGGUAGCAACAGUAAAAAGACACUGAAGACACAGAAAUUCAAUUGACAUUGAUACACAGAACACACACCUCGGAUCCCCUCAUCGUAAAACCCCAGAAUUCUGAGCAGGAGAGUUCAGUGUCCCAUUUAAGUUUUUUUUUUUUCUCUUCUCUGGCGCCUUGUUAUUUUGAACAGUGAAAUACCAGGUUGUUGAUGUUUAUUAUUUUUUUGUUUCUCAUUGAUACUGAAGUAUCACCUGUUCAAAUCACUCCUCUUUAUUCGAGUCAUUCACCCAAUUCCUACUGAACCUAGAGAUGUGAGUAUCCAUUAAUUCUCUAAAUAGGACUAAAGGUGCUACACUUUCAUCCUAAAAGGAGGUAAAAUAUUAAAAGACACUCUGUUCAUCAAAAAA